UGACCUCGGAUCAGGUAGGAAUACCCGCUGAACUUAAGCAUAUCAAUAAGCGGAGGAAAAGAAACCAACAGGGAUUGCCCUAGUAACGGCGAGUGAAGCGGCAACAGCUCAAAUUUGAAAUCUGGCUCUCGGGCCCGAGUUGUAAUUUGUAGAGGAUGCUUUUGAUGCGGUGCCUUCCGAGUUCCCUGGAACGGGACGCCAUAGAGGGUGAGAGCCCCGUCUGGUUGGAUGCCAAAUCUCUGUAAAGCUCCUUCGACGAGUCGAGUAGUUUGGGAAUGCUGCUCUAAAUGGGAGGUAUAUGUCUUCUAAAGCUAAAUACCGGCCAGAGACCGAUAGCGCACAAGUAGAGUGAUCGAAAGAUGAAAAGCACUUUGAAAAGAGAGUUAAAAAGUACGUGAAAUUGUUGAAAGGGAAGCGUUUAUGACCAGACUUGGGCUUGGUUAAUCAUCUGGGGUUCUCCCCAGUGCACUUUUCCAGUCCAGGCCAGCAUCAGUUUUCGCCGGGGGAUAAAGGCUUCGGGAAUGUGGCUCUCUUCGGGGAGUGUUAUAGCCCACCGUGUAAUACCCUGGCGGGGACUGAGGUUCGCGCAUCUGCAAGGAUGCUGGCGUAAUGGUCAUCAACGACCCGUCUUGAAACACGGACCAAGGAGUCGUCUUCGUAUGCGAGUGUUCGGGUGUCAAACCCCUACGCGUAAUGAAAGUGAACGCAGGUGAGAGCUUCGGCGCAUCAUCGACCGAUCCUGAUGUUCUCGGAUGGAUUUGAGUAAGAGCAUACGGGGCCGGACCCGAAAGAAGGUGAACUAUGCCUGUGUAGGGUGAAGCCAGAGGAAACUCUGGUGGAGGCUCGCAGCGGUUCUGACGUGCAAAUCGAUCGUCAAACAUGGGCAUGGGGGCGAAAGACUAAUCGAACCUUCUAGUAGCUGGUUUCCGCCGAAGUUUCCCUCAGGAUAGCAGUGUUGAACUCAGUUUUAUGAGGUAAAGCGAAUGAUUAGGGACUCGGGGGCGCUAUUUAGCCUUCAUCCAUUCUCAAACUUUAAAUAUGUAAGAAGCCCUUGUUGCUUGAUUGAACGUGGGCAUUCGAAUGUAU
rnacentral:ncRNA from 1 species